UACGAAGGGUGCAAGCGUUGCUCGGAAUUAUUGGGCGUAAAGGGUAGGUAGGUGGUAAUAAAAGUCUGGGGUGAAAUCCCUGAGCUCAACUCAGGACGUGCCUUGGAAACUUUAUUACUAGAGUGCUGGAGAGGUCCGCAGAAUUCCCGGUGUAGCGGUGAAAUGCGUAGAUAUUGGGAGGAACACCAGUGGCGAAGGCGGCUCACUGGACCGGAACUGACGCUGAGGCGCGAAAGCGUGGGGAGCAAACGGGG
rnacentral:rRNA from 1 species